ACAGCUUGUUGGUGAGGUAACGGCUCACCAAGGCGACGACGGGUAGCCGGCCUGAGAGGGCGACCGGCCACACUGGGACUGAGACACGGCCCAGACUCCUACGGGAGGCAGCAGUGGGGAAUAUUGCACAAUGGGCGAAAGCCUGAUGCAGCGACGCCGCGUGAGGGAUGACGGCCUUCGGGUUGUAAACCUCUUUCAGCAGGGAAGAAGCGAAAGUGACGGUACCUGCAGAAGAAGCGCCGGCUAACUACGUGCCAGCAGCCGCGGUAAUACGUAGGGCGCAAGCGUUGUCCGGAAUUAUUGGGCGUAAAGAGCUCGUAGGCGGCUUGUCACGUCGGUUGUGAAAGCCCGGGGCUUAACCCCGGGUCUGCAGUCGAUACGGGCAGGCUAGAGUUCGGUAGGGGAGAUCGGAAUUCCUGGUGUAGCGGUGAAAUGCGCAGAUAUCAGGAGGAACACCGGUGGCGAAGGCGGAUCUCUGGGCCGAUACUGACGCUGAGGAGCGAAAGCGUGGGGAGCGAACAGGAUUAGAUACCCUGGUAGUCCACGCCGUAAACGGUGGGCACUAGGUGUGGGCAACAUUCCACGUUGUCCGUGCCGCAGCUAACGCAUUAAGUGCCCCGCCU
rnacentral:rRNA from 1 species